rnacentral:lncRNA from 1 species
CCCGGGUUCACGCCAUCUUGCCACUAAACCUGAUUUACCAACAUAACCUGUUUCUGGCCAUGCUGUGAAUCUGCAUUCUUUACUGUGUCCUUGGGAUACUAGGUCUCUGAUCAAGUGCCACAUCUUUAGAGAAGCUUUUCCAAACAACCGAUUAUGAAGUACACAUUAACAAUGAAGCCUCUUUUCAAGUAAAGAAGUGAGUAACGGAGUUUCGCUCUUGUUGCCCAGGAGGAGUUCAAUGGCGCAAUCUCGGCUCACUGCAGCCUCUGCCUCCUGGAUUCAAGCAAUUCUCCUGCCUCAGCCUCCUGAGUAGCUGGGAUUACAGGCGCCUGCCACCACACCAGGUUAAUUUUCUGUAUUUUUGGUAGAGACGGGGUUUGGUCAUGUUGGUCAGGCUGGUCUCAAACUCCUGGCCUCAGGUGAUCUGCCCGCCUUGGCCUCCCAAAGUGCUGGGAUUACAGAUGUGAGCCACCACACCUGGCCCUCUUUCUGAUUUCUUAACAAGCAUUUCCUGAAUGCAUACUACAAUACAGUACUGCCAUUUUUUUAGCUCCAAAACUAUCCAAUCAUUUUAUUUGAUUUAUCAUGUAUCAUAUUUCAGGCAACCUGUUUAAAUCAACCAUUUAUCAUACCUGCCCACCUGUCAAGUCCUGAAUGAAGAAGACUUUUCUUUAAAAAAACUUUUUUUGUUCACAGAUUAUUUUUUGUAAAUGCUAGAACACCAAUAGUAGUUCAUGGCAUAUAAAGCUCACUUGGCUUAAGGUAGAUGGUAAAUAUACUUCUUUCAGAUACAUUGAAAGAAAAGACCAAAAUUGGACUUUGAUGCUCUUUAAAUCUUUAUAACGCACUAUAUAUUUUUAAAAAUAAUUGCAUCAUAUUAAUAAAAAAUAAUAUGUGAAAUUAUAUGACAAGUCUAGAUAACAAUAUGCAUUUCAAGCUUCCUUUAUAUAUAUUCAUAAGAAGACAUCCUGCUAUUGUUAUUUGUCAUAUUGUUUCUUAGGGGUAUGUUAUUACAUACUUAUUACUACAAUUAACAGUUAUACAAAUAUUGAAGAAUUUUUACCUUAUACAUUACAAUCUAAUUUUUUAAUAACAAUUUUACUGAGGUAUUAUUCACAUACCAUAAAAUUAACUAAUGAUUUUUUUUAGUAUAGUCAUCGAGUUGUGAAGCCAUCACUAUUAUCUAAUUCCAGAACAUUUCCAUCACCCAAAAAGGAAACCUCAUACUCAUUACCACUUACUUACUCUUUCUUCCAUAGCCCAAUCUUAGGCAACUACUAAUCUAUCAUUCUUCAUUCUGUACAUUUUGUUUAAAUGAAAUUGUAUACUAUGUGACCUUUUGUGCGUCUGGUUUCUUUCACUUAGCAUAAUGUUUUCAGGGUAUAUUUAUAUUGUAAAAGGUAUCAGUAUCUCUUUUUUUUUUUUUUUUUUUUUUUUUGAGACGAAGUCUUGCUCUGUUGCCCAGGCUGGAGUGCAGUGGCGUGAUCUCAGCUCACCGCUAGCUCUGCCUCCCGGGUUCACGCCAUUCUCCUGGCUCAGCCUCCCGAGUAGCUGGGACUACAGGCGCUUACCACCAUGCCCAGCUAAUUUUUUGUAUUUUUUAGUAGAGAUGGGUUUUCGCCUUGUUAGCCAGGAUGGUCUCGAUCUCCUGACUUCGUGAUCCACCCGCCUCGGCCUCCCAAAGUGCUGGGAUUACAGGCAUAAGCCACUGCGCCCGGCCCAGUAUCUCAUUUUUUAAUUGUCAAAUAACGUUCCAUUUGUCUAUCCAUUCAUCAGUGCAUGAACAUAGGGGUUGUUUCCAUAUUUUGACUACUAUGAGCAAUACUGCUGUAGACAUUCAUGUCCAAGUUUUUGUGUGAACGUAUGUUUGUAAUUAUGUUGGGUAUAUAUCUAGGAGUGAAGUUUCUGGGUUAUAUGGUUAUUCUACAUGCAACUUUUUGAGAGACUGCCAAACUAUUUUCCAAAGUGACUGCAUCAUUUUACUGAGACAUUAAAUUUUAAAAGUCAUAUAAUUAUCAGAAUUAUUACAUUCAAUGUAUAAUCCUUAAUAUCUCAUGAACACUAGUAUUUUUGUAAUAUAUAAUAGUUCAGAAAAUCUAGCUAAGUCUCCCUAUUUCGUUUUCAACUCAGUGUGUAUUUGAUUAUCCCCUGGGUAUGUCCAGUGUUUUGUAAGGUAUGAAGGUAGGAAUUGGAAUUUAUAGUCAUAGUCUAUAUUACAUAGUCAUGUCUAUAGUGCCUAUUCAUUUAUUUGAAAUAAAUAUGUUUAUUCUCAAAUGGAAAUUGUCUUUGUAGAGGACAUUUUAUGUUCAUGAAAUAUCAAAAUAAAAGUGUUUGUUAAUCUUUUUUGUUUAGUAAGGGAAUGAGAUUGAUUUUUUUUUUUUUUUGUGGCUGGAAAUAAAGACAGAAUUGAGAUUUUGAGGUCCCAUUUAGACUUUAAUAAUUUAUUUAAUUUAAUAUUUUAAGUUACUUCUCUGCAUUUGAAUGUUAUAAUUGUUAGAGGUACUCUCUUAGAGGUACUGGAAAACUUUGUUAAUUAAUCCCACAAAAUACUGAUAAGGCCUCAAAACAAUAGACUUAUGUAAAUCUUAUGAUAUGUAACAUAAUGUGACCAAAAGAAUUUUACUACUUUUUUCUGUGUUUUAAAAAGC